GCCCGGGUAGCUCAGUUGGUAGAGCAGUGGACUGAAAAUCCUCGUGUCGGUGGUUCAAUUCCGCCCCCGGGCACCA
rnacentral:tRNA from 2 species